rnacentral:rRNA from 1 species
AUACGGAGGGGGCAAGCGUUGUUCGGAAUUACUGGGCGUAAAGGGCGCGUAGGCGGAUUGUCACGUCAGAGGUGAAAGGCCUGGGCUCAACCUAGGAACUGCCUCUAAAACUGGCUAUCUAGAGUCCGGGAGAGGAUGGCGGAAUUCCCAGUGUAGAGGUGAAAUUCGUAGAUAUUGGGAAGAACACCAGUGGCGAAGGCGGCCAUCUGGUCCGGCACUGACGCUGAGGCGCGAAAGCGUGGGGAGCAAACAGGAUUAGAAACCCCAGUAGUCC